rnacentral:tRNA from 1 species
AGGGCCUUAGCUUAAUAAAAGUGUCUGAUUUGCAGUCAGGAGAUGUGAGUUAAUACCUUGCAGGUCUUA